UUAGGCCCUAUUUAUUCUUUUUGUUUUGUUCUUCUGCAGGUUUUUAUCUUGUUCAUUGUAAUAGUUUCAUUGCUUUUUGAGAGCCUUGCUCUAGCACUGCUUAAAGAUGAAAUCCAGAAGAGAGAUUAUACUAUUGAAUAGAAAUGAUGGGGUUUUGAAGAAGUUGGUGCUUCUGGAGCAACAAGUUGAAAUAAGGCAUUCACGCACGGUACUCCAACUAUAUUGGGCUUUUUCUAGUUGUUGUGUCAUGUUACUUAAUAGUAUUAUUUAAUUAAUUUCGGAACUUGGUUUGUAAGUACAUAACUUAAGUAUGUGUUUUUUACUUUAUGUGAAUCCAAAACAAUGUGGCUGGUAUAUAAAGUCUUGGUGAAGGCAACCGUUGAAAUGAAUAUAAAUCUAGCUUUUUACCA